GACGAACGCUGGCGGCGUGCUUAACACAUGCAAGUCGAACGGAAAGGCCCUGCUUUUGUUGGGUGCUCGAGUGGCGAACGGGUGAGUAACACGUGAGUAACCUGCCCUUGACUUUGGGAUAACUUCAGGAAACUGGGGCUAAUACCCGAUAGGAGCUCCUGCUGCAUGGUGGGGGUUGGAAAGUUUCGGCGGUUGGGGAUGUACUCGCGGCUUAUCAGCUUGUUGGUGGGGUAGUGGCUUACCAAGGCUUUGACGGGUAGGCGGCCUGAGAGGGUGACCGGCGACAUUGGGACUGAGGUACGGCCCAGACUCCUAAGGGAGGCAGCAGUGGGGAAUAUUGCACAAUGGGCGGAAGCCUGAUGCAGAAACGCCGCGUGCGGGAUGACGGCCUUCGGGUGGUAAACCGAUUUCGCCUGUGACGAAGCGUGAGUGACGGUAAUGGGUAAAGAAGCACCGGCUAACUACGUG
rnacentral:rRNA from 1 species